UGCCUUUACAUCAAAUUUCGAAUUUGAUCUAAUCAAUUCUGGUUCUGUUGGUUUGUGUUAGAGUUGGUUCUUUUUUCUAUCAAGCUUCAUCAAGCUUGCUCUUAACGGCAUCAAUUUCUUCACCAAGAAACUUCUUUUUCAAAAAGAAUACCUUAAAAUUCAUGAACAUCUCAUGUCAUCUGAAAGGUAGAAGAAGUAUCCUUAAAUAAUAUUUAUCAGACCA
rnacentral:lncRNA from 1 species